CCUACGGGCGGCAGCAGUGAGGAAUAUUGGUCAAUGGGCGCAAGCCUGAACCAGCCAAGUCGCGUGAGGGAAGACGGCCCUACGGGUUGUAAACCUCUUUUGCCGGGGAGCAAGACUGAGCACGUGUGCCCAGGCGGAGAGUACCCGGAGAAAAAGCAUCGGCUAACUCCGUGCCAGCAGCCGCGGUAAUACGAAGGGGGCAAGCGUUGUUCGGAAUUACUGGGCGUAAAGGGAGUGUAGGCGGUUUAGUAAGAUAGUGGUGAAAUCCCAGGGCUUAACUUUGGAAUUGCCAUUAUAACUAUUAGACUAGAAUUACAGAGAGGAUAGUGGAAUACCCAGUGUAGAGGUGAAAUUCGUAGAUAUUGGGUAGAACACCAGUGGCGAAGGCGACUAUCUGGCUGUACAUUGACGCUGAGGCUCGAAAGCAUGGGGAUCAAACAGGAUUAGAUACCCCAGUAGUC
rnacentral:rRNA from 1 species